GACGAACGCUGGCGGCGUGCCUAAUACAUGCAAGUUGAGCGCUGAAGGUUGGUACUUGUACCAACUGGAUGAGCAGCGAACGGGUGAGUAACGCGUGGGGAAUCUGCCUUUGAGCGGGGGACAACAUUUGGAAACGAAUGCUAAUACCGCAUAAAAACUUUAAACACAAGUUUUAAGUUUGAAAGAUGCAACUGCAUCACUCAAAGAUGAUCCCGCGUUGUAUUAGCUAGUUGGUGAGGUAAAGGCUCACCAAGGCGAUGAUACAUAGCCGACCUGAGAGGGUGAUCGGCCACAUUGGGACUGAGACACGGCCCAAACUCCUACGGGAGGCAGCAGUAGGGAAUCUUCGGCAAUGGACGAAAGUCUGACCGAGCAACGCCGCGUGAGUGAAGAAGGUCGUCGGAUCGUAAAACUCUGUUGGUAGAGAAGAACGUUGGUGAGAGUGGAAAGCUCAUCAAGUGACGGUAACUACCCAGAAAGGGACGGCUAACUACGUG
rnacentral:rRNA from 1 species